rnacentral:rRNA from 1 species
UAUUGGACAAUGGGGGGAACCCUGAUCCAGCGACGCCGCGUGAGUGAAGAAGUAUUUCGGUAUGUAAAGCUCUAUCAGCAGGGAAGAAAGAAAUGACGGUACCUGACCAAGAAGCCCCGGCUAACUACGUGCCAGCAGCCGCGGUAAUACGUAGGGGGCAAGCGUUAUCCGGAUUAACUGGGUGUAAAGGGAGCGUAGACGGUAAUGCAAGUCUGGAGUGAAAUGCAGGGGCUCAACCCCUGAACUGCUUUGGAAACUGUAUGACUGGAGUGCAGGAGAGGUAAGUGGAAUUCCUAGUGUAGCGGUGAAAUGCGUAGAUAUUAGGAGGAACACCAGUGGCGAAGGCGGCUUACUGGACUGUAACUGACGUUGAGGCUCGAAAGCGUGGGGAGCAAACAGGA